rnacentral:rRNA from 1 species
UACGAAGGGGGCUAGCGUUGCUCGGAAUCACUGGGCGUAAAGGGUGCGUAGGCAGGUCUUUAAGUCAGGGGUGAAAUCCUGGAGCUCAACUCCAGAACUGCCUUUGAUACUGGGGAUCUCGAGUCCGGAAGAGGUGAGUGGAACUCCGAGUGUAGAGGUGAAAUUCGUAGAUAUUCGGAAGAACACCAGUGGCGAAGGCGGCUCACUGGUCCGGUACUGACGCUGAGGUGCGAAAGCGUGGGGAGCAAACAGG